AUCACAUCACGUUGAAAUACCAGUUCUCGUCCGAUCAUGGAAGUUAAGCAAUGACGAGCCUCGUCAGUUCCUAGAUGGGUGACCGCCUGGGAAUACCAGGUG